CCGCCCCUCCUUGCCGCCUCCCAGAGCCCCCAGGACCCAUCCCUGAGCUGUUUGGGGAGACACAGGCAACCCCUUCUUUGGCUGGCUAGGGUUUCACGAGCCUCGGGAAAGAAGAUGCAGCUAAAAUUAACCGCUAUCAAGCUGUCAGCCCCGGAAAUAAACCUGCCUCCCAUUGGCUGCCGGUGACGUCACUGCCGGGUUAAUAAUAGCCGCCGAGUGCCUAACGAACCACCUGUGCAUGGGGCACAGCCAGGCCAUCACCCCGGGGCCACCGCCGCAGGCAGGUGGAGGCUGGCAGCCCAGAGGCAGACGGGGGCUUGGAGGCAGGGUGGGGAGCAAGGCCAAGGCCGCUCUCUGGCCCCCAGUGUCGCAGGAUGACCUCAGCCCUGGCCUGGCCCCAGAGCAGGUUGCUUCACUGCUGGGCCCUGUGGACUUGUUCUCAUGCUUUGUCAGUGUCGAUGUCGAAAGCCCAAAGUGUUUCCCAAGUCCUGCUACCUUGGUGGUGACACCAUCUAAGAGGCACUGGCCAGAGAGCUGGGCAGCAGCUGCCACCUGGGAUGAAGAUGGGCAGAGCUGGGCCACCAGGGCCAUGGUGUGAACACACCACUCUCCCUCCAGGGGCCGACCAAGUAGCUCCGGGGGUCCAACCCUGGCUCCGGCUUUGGCAGAACUCUCACCUCGCCCCCAGACACCUGUGGGAGGAGCACAGUGCAGGUGGCGAUGGCUCCCAGGGGCCGAGCAAGGCUGUGAGCCUCCACACUAGGGGCCUCUCCCAUCUAGUCCUCCCCACGCGCUGGGAUUAACACAUUCUUAACAUAUAUAUCUUAACCCAACCAUAACACGGUGCCACCAUCGUCCCGUCCACAAGGGAGGAGACAGUGGCUACAGGGUGGCAGGCAGCCCUUACAAGUGGGACUGGAAGCCUUUCCCUCCCGCCCUGUGGGAAGCCUGUGGCCAUCCCCGCCCUCGUCCAGCUGUGCCCUGUCCUCUCCAGCUGACCGUCCCCGUCAAUCUCAUCCCUGCCAAUGAUCACAUCCCAGCAGCAACCAGGCCUGAACCGGCCUCCUAUAGCUUGCGCACAAUGCAUCUUCCGUCCGCUUAGCUUUUCUGUCCCCAUUUCCUACAGCCGGGGAGGCUCGGGUGCAGUGUCUCUCCUUGCUCCUGCUUCCUGACCCAGAGCCCAGACCUGAGACUUCCCAAAAGCCCCCAGACACACCAAGGGCACCGCCGAACCCCUCAGAGCCAGGGGAGAGGAGAGCUAGCGUUCCCUGAGCUCACCUUGCCUGGUGGCACGGGUCCCCUCUGUCUGCGGCCACUGUCAUGGGAGAAGCCAGGCUCAGCCACUGGCAAGAGCAGGCAGCCAGCAAGAGGUGGAUGUGGGUCCAAGCCCAGGCCACACGGCUCCCAGCAAGAGCCACGGCCAGGGGCCAGUCGGCAGCCCCUCUGCCCGACAAGGAUGUGGGCCAGCGUCGUCUGCACUUCAGAGGAGACGAGAACCAGGAGGCAGCCCCUGAGGGCAUCCCGCGGGUCCUCACAGAGGCUGUGUUCUCCCACCUUGGCCAGGAUGCCCCGGGAACACCAUGCAGCGUCUCUGAGGCUUCCUGUGCAGAGGGGCUCACAGAGCCCCCACCAGCCUGGUUUAGUAAAUGCAGUUUUUACCUUUUCACUUUAAAGGAAAAUGAAAAUUCCUCCUUUCAGACG